rnacentral:rRNA from 1 species
AGAGUUUGAUCCUGGCUCAGGACGAACGCUGGCGGCGUGCUUAACACAUGCAAGUCGAGCGGUAAGGCCCUUUCGGGGGUACACGAGCGGCGAACGGGUGAGUAACACGUGGGUAACCUGCCCUCAGCUCUGGGAUAAGCCCGGGAAACUGGGUCUAAUACCGGAUAUGACUCCGCAUCGCAUGGUGCGGGGUGGAAAGCCUUGUGCGGCUGAGGAUGGACCCGCGGCCUAUCAGCUUGUUGGUGGGGUAGUGGCCUACCAAGGCGACGACGGGUAGCCGGCCUGAGAGGGCGACCGGCCACACUGGGACUGAGACACGGCCCAGACUCCUACGGGAGGCAGCAGUGGGGAAUAUUGCGCAAUGGGCGAAAGCCUGACGGCAGCGACGCCGCGUGAGGGAUGACGGCCUUCGGGUUGUAAACCUCUUUCAGCUCCGACGAAGCGAGAGUGACUGUACGAGCAGAAGAAGCAGCGGCCAACUACGUGCCAGCAGCCGCGGUAAUACGUAGGGUGCAAGCGUUGUCCGGAAUGAUGGGGCGUAAAGAGCUCGUAGGCGGUUUGUCGCGUCGACUGUGAAAACUCAGGGGCUCAACUCCGAGCUGCAGUUGAUACGGGCAGACUAGAGUCGGCAGGGGAGACUGGAAUGCCUGGUGUACCGGUGAAAUGCGCCGAUAUCAGGAGGAGCACCCAGUGGGCGAAGGCCGGGUCUCUGGGGCCGAUACUGACGCCGAAGGANCCGAAGCNUGGAGGAGCGAACANGAUCGAAUACCUGUAUUCAGUGCNAAGUCAGCACC